GAUGAAGAACGUAGCGAAAUGCGAUAAGUAAUGCGAAUUGCAGAUUUCAGUGAGUCAUCGAAUCUUUGAACGCACAUUGCACCUCUCGGUAUUCCGGGAGGUAUGCCUGUUCGAGCGUCAUUUGUACCCUCAAGCUCUGCUUGGUGUUGGGUGUUUGUUCCGCCUCUGUGUGUGAACUCGCCUCAAAACAAUUGGCAGCCGGCGUACUUGUUUCGGAGCGCAGCACAUUUUGCGAUCCAGAUCAACGUACAGCGGCAUCCAAGAAGCCUUAUUUAACGCUCUUGACCUCGGAUCAGGUAGGGAUACCCGCUGAACUUAAGCAUAUCAAUAAGCGGAGGA
rnacentral:misc_RNA from 1 species